ensembl:lncRNA
GUGAUUCAACAGUUCCCAUACAAUGAUCAGAGAUAUUAAUAUAUUGUUCAACUCUUUCAAUAUUAUUGAAUAAACCAACUGUAAAGUCUUCUGUUGAAAACAAAGAAAUAGCUUCACUGGAAAGACUUGUUGAGAAAAUGUGAUCUGCUGCACAACACUGCGGUCAACUCUAGACAUUGUCUUCACUUCUUCAGUAUCAAAGUUGAGCUGCUGAGUCUAGUUAAACCCGCUGGAUUAGCUCCACAGCCAUCUGGGUGGUCCUUUACUUCUGAUUGCAAACUCCCAGAGCAGACGGUACAGCUGAAUCUUCAGUACUCGGGAAAGAUUAAUUUAUUUUGGGGUCCAUGCCUCACCUCCCAGUAUACGAGACUUACCAGCAAGGAAUGUCUUCACAAUUGGUUUCCACUGCUCCUGAAUAUCGUUCUUCUGAAUACUGUGAUUGGUUUCCUAUAACUUCAAUCACUGUCUGUUUAUCAUAGGUUGAUCCUGUUCUAAUUUUUUCUGUUCAUUGUUGUUGCUACUUUCAAGCGGGCAGCAGCAGAGAUUCCAGAAAGAGAACUGGAAUGAAUGAUUACAAGACAUUACCUGAGGAAAUUCUGCCUUGCAUAAAACAGAUAAUUCUGGCUUUCAUUUUUUUUUCACAUACAUAAAAGGAUGUUGGUCAAAAAAUAUCCAGUGAAGCAGUUGACAAGUUGUGCUUGCAGCUUUCCACUCCCUCUUUGUGUCAACAUGAUUUAAAGAAAGAAAAUCAGUUGACAAACAGAGUGUCAAGACUGUAUCUCCUAAAAGCCACUGAAUGACUACGUAAUGUUGAUGUCUAAAACCCAUUUCCAAGUUACAAGUUACCUUACUACAGAUGUUGCUGAGAUUUUAAGUGUGAUUUGCAAUGCAUGCCUCCAGCAUCUAGAGGCUGGUGCAUUCUGCAGUGCUGAAAGGAGUCCAGAAAUGCUCAGCAGAUGUCUGAAAAGGAAUUCACUUCCUUCCAAAAGAAGAGCACUAAACAUGUUCAUGUCUAGUUCUACAAAUAUCAAUAUGACUGGAAAAUGAUCAACGGUCAUUGACAG